GAUGCAACGCGAAGAACCUUACCAAGGCUUGACAUACACCGGAAACGGCCAGAGAUGGUCGCCCCCUUGUGGUCGGUGUACAGGUGGUGCAUGGUUGUCGUCAGCUCGUGUCGUGAGAUGUUGGGUUAAGUCCCGCAACGAGCGCAACCCUCGUUCUAUGUUGCCAGCGCGUUAUGGCGGGGACUCAUAGGAGACUGCCGGGGUCAACUCGGAGGAAGGUGGGGAUGACGUCAAAUCAUCAUGCCCCUUAUGUCUUGGGCUUCACGCAUGCUACAAUGGCCGGUACAAAGGGCUGCGAUACCGUAAGGUGGAGCGAAUCCCAAAAAGCCGGUCUCAGUUCCGCCUGAGGUGUGCAACUCGACCUCAUGAAGUCGGAGUC
rnacentral:rRNA from 2 species